AGACGGAGGGUGCAAACGUUGUUCGGAAUUACUGGGCAUAAAGAGCACGUAGGCGGUCCGGUCAGUCUGGUGUGAAAGCCCUCGGCUCAACCGGGGAACUGCAUCGGAUACUGCCGGACUCGAGGACGGUUGGGGUGAGUGGAACUCCUGGUGGAGCGGUGAAAUGCGUAGAUAUCAGGAGGAACACCAGUGGCGAAAGCGACUCACUGGGCCGUUUCUGACGCUGAGGUGCGAAAGCUAGGGUAGCGAACGGGAUUAGAUACCCCAGUAGUCC
rnacentral:rRNA from 1 species